AGCAGCCCCCCUUUGGGUCCCUUCCCUUUGUAUGGGAGCUGUUUUCAUGCUAUUUCACUCUAUUAAAUCUUGCAACUGCACUCUUCUGGUCCAUGUUUCUUACGGCUCGAGCUGAGCUUUUGCUCACCGUCCACCACUGCUGUUUGCCACCACCGCAGACCUGCCGCUGACUCCCAUCCCUCUGGAUCCUGCAGGGUGUCCGCUGUGCUCCUGAUCCAGCGAGGCGCCCAUUGCCGCUCCCAAUUGGGCUAAAGGCUUGCCAUUGUUCCUGCACGGCUAAGUGCCUGGGUUUGUUCUAAUUGAGCUGAACACUAGUCACUGGGUUCCAUGGUUCUCUUCUGUGACCCACGGCUUCUAAUAGAACUAUAACACUUACCACAUGGCCCAAGAUUCCAUUCCUUGGAAUCCGUGAGGCCAAGAACUCCAGGUCAGAGAAUACGAGGCUUGCCACCAUCUUGGAAGCGGCCUGCUACCAUCUUGGAAGUGGUUCACCACCAUCUUGGGAGCUCUGUGAGCAAGGACCCCCCGGUAACAUUUUGGCAACCACGAACGGACAUCCAAAGUGAAUCGAAGCUGUAAAACUACAAAUGGAGCCCAAGAUGCAGUCCAAGACUAAGAUCUACCGCAGACCCCUGGACCGGCCUGCUAGCCCACGAUCUGAUGUUAAUGACAUCAAAGGCACCCCUCCUGAGGAAAUCUCAGCUGCACAACCUCUACUACGCCCCAAUUCAGCAGGAAGCAGUUAGAGCGGUCGUCGGCCAACCUCCCCAACAGCACUUAGGUUUUCCUGUUGAGAUGGGGGACUGAGAGACAGGACUAGCUGGAUUUCCUAGGCUGACUAAGAAUCCCUAAGCCUAGCUGGGAAGGUGACCACAUCCACCUUUAAACACGGGGCUUGCAACUUAGCUCACACCUGACCAAUCAGAGAGCUCACUAAAAUGCUAAUUAGGCAAAGACAGGAGGUAAAGAAAUAGCCAAUCAUCUAUUGCCUGAGAGCACAGCAGGAGGGACAAUGAUCGGGAUAUAAACCCAAGUCUUCGAGCCGGCAACGGCAACCCCCUUUGGGUCCCCUCCCUUUGUAUGGGAGCUCUGUUUUCAUGCUAUUUCACUCUAUUAAAUCUUGCAACUGCA
rnacentral:lncRNA from 1 species